rnacentral:rRNA from 1 species
CUCCGGUUGAUCCUGCCGGACCCGACUGCUAUCAGAGUGGGACUAAGCCAUGCGAGUUAACAUAGCAAUAUGUGGCAUACGGCUCAGUAACACGUAGUCAACAUGCCCAGGGGACGUGGAUAACCUCGGGAAACUGAGGAUAAACCGCGAUAGGUCAUCACUUCUGGAAUGGGUAAUGACUUAAAUCUAUAUGGCCCCUGGAUUGGACUGCGGCCGAUCAGGCUGUUGGUGAGGUAAUGGCCCACCAAACCUGUAACCGGUACGGGCUCUGAGAGGAGGAGCCCGGAGAUGGGCACUGAGACAAGGGCCCAGGCCCUAUGGGGCGCAGCAGGCGCGAAACCUCUGCAAUAGGCGAAAGCUUGACAGGGUUACUCUGAGUGAUUUCCGUUAAGGAGAUCUUUUGGCACCUCUAAAAAUGGUGCAGAAUAAGGGGUGGGCAAGUCUGGUGUCAGCCGCCGCGGUAAUACCAGCACCCCGAGUGGUCGGGACGUUUAUUGGGCCUAAAGCAUCCGUAGCCGGUUCUACAAGUCUUCCGUUAAAUCCACCUGCUUAACAGAUGGGCUGCGGAAGAUACUAUAGAGCUAGGAGGCGGGAGAGGCAAGCGGUACUCGAUGGGUAGGGGUAAAAUCCGUUGAUCCAUUGAAGACCACCAGUGGCGAAGGCGGCUUGCCAGAACGCGCUCGACGGUGAGGGAUGAAAGCUGGGGGAGCAAACCGGAUUAGAUACCCGGGUAGUCCCAGCUGUAAACGAUGCAGACUCGGUGAUGAGUUGGCUUAUUGCUAACUCAGUGCCGCAGGGAAGCCGUUAAGUUUGCCGCCUGGGGAGUACGGUCGCAAGGCUGAAACUUAAAGGAAUUGGCGGGGAGCA